UGGAGUGCUUAUACCGAGGGGGAAACACCCGUUCCCAUUCCGAAUACGGCAGUUAAGCCUCUCAGGGCCGAUGGUAGUGUGCUCGUAAGGGCAUGUGAGAGUAGGUCAGCGCUCCUU
rnacentral:rRNA from 1 species